UACGUAGGGGGCAAGCGUUGUCCGGAUUUAUUGGGCGUAAAGAGCUCGUAGGUGGUUCGGUAAGUCGGAUGUGAAAUCUCCAGGCUCAACCUGGAGGGGUCAUUCGAUACUGCCGUGACUAGAGUUCGGUAGGGGAGUGUGGAAUUCCUGGUGGAGCGGUGAAAUGCGCAGAUAUCAGGAAGAACACCAACGGCGAAGGCAGCUCGCUGGGACGGAACUGUCGCUGAGGCGCGAAAGCGUGGGGAGCGAACAGG
rnacentral:rRNA from 1 species